rnacentral:rRNA from 1 species
GAUGAACGCUGGCGGCGUGCUUAACACAUGCAAGUCGAACGGGAAUUAUUUUAUUGAAACUUCGGUCGAUUUAAUUUAAUUCUAGUGGCGGACGGGUGAGUAACGCGUGGGUAACCUGCCUUAUACAGGGGGAUAACAGUCAGAAAUGGCUGCUAAUACCGCAUAAGCGCACAGAGCUGCAUGGCUCAGUGUGAAAAACUCCGGUGGUAUAAGAUGGACCCGCGUUGGAUUAGCUGGUUGGUGGGGUAACGGCCCACCAAGGCGACGAUCCAUAGCCGGCCUGAGAGGGUGAACGGCCACAUUGGGACUGAGACACGGCCCAGACUCCUACGGGAGGCAGCAGUGGGGAAUAUUGCACAAUGGGGGAAACCCUGAUGCAGCGACGCCGCGUGAAGGAAGAAGUGUCUCGGUAUGUAAACUUCUAUCAGCAGGGAAGAUAGUGACGGUACCUGACUAAGAAGCCCCGGCUAACUACGUG